rnacentral:tRNA from 1 species
AGGAAAUUAGCUCAGUGGUAGAGCAUUCGUUUUACACGCGAUCUAGCGAGGGUUCAAUUCCUUCAUUUCCUA